AGUGAACGCUGGCGGCAGGCCUAAUACAUGCAAGUCGAACGGCAGCACAGCAGAGCUUGCUCUGUGGGUGGCGAGUGGCGGACGGGUGAGGAAUACAUGGGAAUCUGCCCAGUCGUGGGGAUAACGUAGGGAAACUUACGCUAAUACCGCAUGCGCCCUUCGGGGAAAGCCGGGGACCUUCGGGCCUGGCGCGAUUGGAUGAGCCCAUGUCGGAUUAGCUAGUUGGCGGGGUAAUGGCCCACCAAGGCGACGAUCCGUAGCUGGUCUGAGAGGAUGAUCAGCCACACUGGAACUGAGACACGGUCCAGACUCCUACGGGAGGCAGCAGUAGGGAAUAUUGGACAAUGGGCGCAAGCCUGAUCCAGCCAUGCCGCGUGAGUGAAGAAGGCCCUCGGGUUGUAAAGCUCUUUUGUCCGGAAAGAAAAGCGCCGGGUUAAUACCCUGGUGUCCUGACGGUACCGGAAGAAUAAGCACCGGCUAACUUCGUGCCAGCAGCCGCGGUAAUC
rnacentral:rRNA from 1 species